CCUACGGGAGGCUGCAGCUAAGAAUCUUCCGCAAUGGACGAAAGUCUGACGGAGCGACGCCGCGUGAACGAUGAAGGCCGUGAGGUUGUAAAGUUCUUUUCGAGAGGAGGAAUAAUGUUUGCAGGGAAUGGCAGACAGAUGACGUUAAUCUCGGAAUAAGCCCCGGCUAACUACGUGCCAGCAGCCGCGGUAACACGUAGGGGGCAAGCGUUGUUCGGAAUUAUUGGGCGUAAAGGGCGUGCAGGCGGUACUGCAAGUCUGGCGUGAAAUAUCUCGGCUUAACCGAGGAAACGCGCUGGAAACUGUAGUACUAGAGUACAGGAGGGGACAUUGGAAUUCCAGGUGUAGGGGUGAAAUCUGUAGAUAUCUGGAAGAACACCGGUGGCGAAGGCGAAUGUCUGGCCAUGUACUGACGCUGAGACGCGAAGGUGCGGGGAGCAAACAGGAUUAGAUACCCCUGUAGUC
rnacentral:rRNA from 1 species